GCUAUUUGAGUAUCUAUGUACUAUUGACUUCCAAUCAAUCAGAUUAAUAUUAAAUUAAAUAUAGCA
rnacentral:tRNA from 1 species